UUUAGUGUGGCAGAUUAGUGCAAUGAACUUAAAAUUCAUAUAUAAAUAACUUUAUUUCAUUAAAA
rnacentral:tRNA from 1 species